CUCUCUUAAAAAGUUUAUUGACUUUAUCACUGGACUUUAACUUUAUAUACAGUGAUAAACUAAAUUAUUGCUACACUUUGAAACUCUUCAUUAGAAAUGAUACGUUUUAUUGUUACGUUACUUUUUAUCUUGAUCUUAUCGUUCUUGUGUCAUAGAUGUUAUUCAUAAGAAGCAGCUAUUUUUGCCCUUGUUUUGUGUAACUGGACUAAAGUAGACUACUAAAAUUACUCAGAACGGUGAAAUGGACUUUGAGCAUUGGUCUAUUCAGUGUUCAUUAAGUGGAGUUGGAUAUGGACGGGAUCACCAUCAUUCAGAAGAGCUCUGAACAUCCUGACUGACAUCAGCAACUCAAAUAUGAUCCAUAAACACACACAAACAACAUGAAUCUGAGUCACUGACUUAACUUCUGUAAAUCUCAAACUUAAUAUUAGUUUCAUAUGAUCUUUAUUAACAUUUGUAAUUCCAUGAAGACGUUUAAAAUCUAUACUGUAUGUAUUACUGUAAAUAGUAUUACAUAGAAUUAAACAGUAGUGUGCAAUAAAUACAAAGCAAAUGGCCUUAAACUGAUUUUUGUAUGUUAUUUUUUUAAGUGUGUGUUUGGCUAUCUUUUCCCUUAUUUAUCAACUUUUUAUUCAUUAAACUUUGACUUCAUGCAAAUAACCUGUCUCUACAUUGAAAUAAAUAUUAUAUCUUUGGCCAA